rnacentral:rRNA from 1 species
ACCUUCGGGUGGUGAGUAAAGUGGCGGACGGGUGAGUAACGCGUGGGUAACCUGCCUUGAGGAGGGGGAUAACCCGGGGAAACCCGGGCUAAUACCGCAUAAGCCCUACUGGGAGGGAUCCUGGGAGGGGAAAGGUCUUUGGACCGCCUGAAGAGGGGCCCGCGUCCGAUUAGCUGGUUGGUGAGGUAAGGGCUCACCAAGGCGACGAUCGGUAGCCGGUCUGAGAGGACGGACGGCCACACUGGGACUGAGACACGGCCCAGACUCCUACGGGAGGCAGCAGUGGGGAAUUUUGGGCAAUGGGCGCAAGCCUGACCCAGCAACGCCGCGUGGAGGAAGAAGGUCUUCGGAUCGUAAACUCCUGUCCAGGGGGACGAAGAGAUGACGGUACCCCUGGAGGAAGCCCCGGCUAACUCCGUGCCAGCAGCCGCGGUAAUACGGGGGGGGCAAGCGUUGUUCGGAAUUACUGGG